GGGAAACUGCCCGAUGGAGGGGGAUAACUACUGGAAACGGUAGCUAAUACCGCAUAACGUCGCAAGACCAAAGUGGGGGACCUUCGGGCCUCACACCAUCGGAUGUGCCCAGAUGGGAUUAGCUAGUAGGUGGGGUAAUGGCUCACCUAGGCGACGAUCCCUAGCUGGUCUGAGAGGAUGACCAGCCACACUGGAACUGAGACACGGUCCAGACUCCUACGGGAGGCAGCAGUGGGGAAUAUUGCACAAUGGGCGCAAGCCUGAUGCAGCCAUGCCGCGUGUAUGAAGAAGGCCUUCGGGUUGUAAAGUACUUUCAGCGGGGAGGAAGGCGGUGAAGUUAAUAGCUUCACCGAUUGACGUUACCCGCAGAAGAAGCACCGGCUAACUCCGUGCCAGCAGCCGCGGUAAUACGGAGGGUGCAAGCGUUAAUCGGAAUUACUGGGCGUAAAGCGCACGCAGGCGGUCUGUCAAGUCGGAUGUGAAAUCCCCGGGCUUAACCUGGGAACUGCAUUCGAAACUGGCAGGCUGGAGUCUUGUAGAGGGGGGUAGAACUCCAGGU
rnacentral:rRNA from 1 species